GACGUAGGGGGCCAGCGUUGUUCGGAAUUACUGGGCGUAAAGGGCUCGUAGGUGGCCAACUAAGUCAGACGUGAAAUCCCUCAGCUUAACUGGGGAACUGCGUCUGAUACUGGAUGGCUUGAGUUUGGGAGAGGGAUGCGGAAUUCCAGGUGUAGCGGUGAAAUGCGUAGAUAUCAGGAGGAAUACCGAUGGCGAAGGCAGGUCUCUGGGCUGACACUGACGCUCAUGCACGAAAGCGUGGGGAGCAAACAGG
rnacentral:rRNA from 1 species